AUAAAAGCUACGAAAAGAAGAGUAAACCCACGUACUAUCUACAGAGACCUCUGAUUGCUGAAAAAGAGGGAUAGGAAAGGCGUUGAAACAAGGCUUGGAGCUGUGCAUUGGAUUUGUUCGCUGGAAUAAUGAUAAUGCAACGUAUUCUCACGUUACAGAGAUAGAGUAUCGCAGGUGAGCUAUUCACAAAGCCGUACUCGACAAGGCCUCUGCAGCAAUGUAGAGAUGAACUGGGGUGGCACCGCGAUAUGACUCGCCCCCAAG
rnacentral:ncRNA from 1 species